rnacentral:rRNA from 1 species
GACGAACGCUGGCGGCGUGCUUAACACAUGCAAGUCGAACGGAAAGGCCCUGCUUUUGUGGGGUGCUCGAGUGGCGAACGGGUGAGUAACACGUGAGUAACCUGCCCUUGACUUUGGGAUAACUUCAGGAAACUGGGGCUAAUACCGGAUAGGAGCUCCUGCUGCAUGGUGGGGGUUGGAAAGUUUCGGCGGUUGGGGAUGGACUCGCGGCUUAUCAACUUGUUGGUGGGGUAGUGGCUUACCAAGGCUUUGACGGGUAGCCGGCCUGAGAGGGUGACCGGCCACAUUGGGACUGAGAUACGGCCCAGACUCCUACGGGAGGCAGCAGUGGGGAAUAUUGCACAAUGGGCGGAAGCCUGAUGCAGCAACGCCGCGUGCGGGAUGACGGCCUUCGGGCUGUAAACCGCUUUCGCCUGUGACGAAGCGUGAGUGACGGUAAUGGGUAAAGAAGCACCGGCUAACUACGUG